rnacentral:rRNA from 1 species
UAAAAGCCUACCAAGCCUAAGAUCCUUAGCUGUUCUGAGAGGUUGAACAGCCACACUGGGACUGAGACAAGGCCCAGGCUCCAUUUGGAGCCAGCAGUGAGGAAUUUUGGACAAUGAGCGAAGGCUUGAUCCAGCAAUACUACAUGAGUGAAGAAGGCUUUCAAGUUGUAACACUCUUUGGUUGAGGAGGAUAAUGACAGUACUCAACAAAAUAGCCCCGGCUAACUUCGUGCCAGCAGCCGCGGUAAGACGAAGGGGGCGAGCGUUAUCCGGGAUGACUGGACGUAAAGGGUCCGUAGGCAGCAUUUUUUGUUGGAAGUUAAAUAAAAAAGCUUAACUUUUUUCCGCUUCUAAAACGUAAAUGCUUUGAGGUUGAUAGAAGAUAGCAGAAUUUCACAAGGAGGGGUGAUAUCCAGAGAUCUGUGAAGGAAUAUCAGAUGCGAAGGCGGCUAUCUAGAUCAACACUGACGUUGAGGGACGAAAGCAUGGGGAGCAAACAGGAUUAGAUACCCUGGUAGUCCAUGCCCUAAAAGAUGAGUGUUCGUGCUUAGAGAACUUUAGGCACUUAGUUAACACGUUAAACACUCCGCCUGGGGAGUACGAUCGCAAGGUUGGAACUCAAAGGAAUUGACGGGGGCCUAUACAAGUGGUGGAGCAUGUGGUUUAAUGCGAUAAUACGCGCGAAACCUUACCAGUUCUUGACAUAAAAAAGAAAAAGUUUGAAAAAGCAAUUUUAAAGAUUUUUACAGGUGUUGCAUGGCUGUCGUAAGCUCGUGUCGUGAGGUGUUAGGUUAACUCCUUUUAACGGGCGAAACCCCUUUUUUUCGUUGCUACUUAAUUUUAUUUUUAAAGCACUCUAAAAAAACUGCUCCCUUUUUUUAAUUCGGAGAGGAAGGUGGGGAUGACGUCAAGUCCUUAUGGCCCUUAUGAACUGGGCUACACACGUGCUACAAUGGUAAAGACAAUAAGAAGUGAUAGGGUAACCUAAAACCAAUCUUUAAACUUUAUCAAAGUUCGGAUUGUGGACUGCAACUCGUCCAUAUGAAGGUGGAAUCACUAGUAAUCGCACAUCAGCAUGUUGCGGUGAAUUUGUACCUAGGCCUUGUACACACCGCCCGUCACGUGCCGGGAGUUGGC